UACGUAGGGUGCAAGCGUUGUCCGGAAUUAUUGGGCGUAAAGAGCUCGUAGGCGGUCUGUCGCGUCUGCUGUGAAAUCUCAGGGCUUAACCCUGAGCUUGCAGUGGGUACGGGCAGACUAGAGUGCGGUAGGGGAGACUGGAAUUCCUGGUGUAGCGGUGAAAUGCGCAGAUAUCAGGAGGAACACCGGUGGCGAAGGCGGGUCUCUGGGCCGUAACUGACGCUGGAGGAGCGAAAGCAUGGGGAGCGAACAGG
rnacentral:rRNA from 1 species